GGGCUUGUGGCGGAAUUGGUAGACGCGCUUGACUUAGGAUCAUGUGCCUAUGGCGUAAGAGUUCGACUCUCUUCAAGCCCACCA
rnacentral:tRNA from 1 species